GAUGAACGCUGGCGGCGUGCCUAAUACAUGCAAGUCGAGCGAACGGACGAGAAGCUUGCUUCUCUGAUGUUAGCGGCGGACGGGUGAGUAACACGUGGAUAACCUACCUAUAAGACUGGGAUAACUUCGGGAAACCGGAGCUAAUACCGGAUAAUAUUUUGAACCGCAUGGUUCAAAAGUGAAAGACGGUCUUGCUGUCACUUAUAGAUGGAUCCGCGCUGCAUUAGCUAGUUGGUAAGGUAACGGCUUACCAGGGCAACGAUGCAUAGCCGACCUGAGAGGGUGAUCGGCCACACUGGAACUGAGACACGGUCCAGACUCCUACGGGAGGCAGCAGUAGGGAAUCUUCCGCAAUGGGCGAAAGCCUGACGGAGCAACGCCGCGUGAGUGAUGAAGGUCUUCUGAUCGUAAAACUCUGUUAUUAGGGAAGAACAUAUGUGUAAGUAACUGUGCACAUCUUGACGGUACCUAAUCAGAAAGCCACGGCUAACUACGUG
rnacentral:rRNA from 1 species